rnacentral:lncRNA from 1 species
GGGGGUGUUAGUAUUCUUUAGGGUGGUAGUAGUCUUCAGGGUGGUAGUAGUCUUCAGGGUGGUAGUAGUCUUGGGGGUGGUAGUAGUCUUUAGGGUGGUAGUAGUCUUUAGGGUGGUAGUAGUCUAGGGUGGUAGUAGUCUUCAGGGUGGUAGUAGUCUUUAGGGUGGUAGUAGUCCUGGGGGUGGUAGUAGUCUUCAGGGUGGUAGUAGUCUUCAGGGUGGUAGUAGUCUUCAGGGUGGUAGUAGUCUUCAGGGUGGUAGUAGUCUUCAGGGUGGUAGUAGUCCUGGGGGUGGUAGUAGUCUUUAGGGUGGUAGUAGUCUUCAGGGUGGUAGUAGUCUUUAGGGUGGUAGUAGUCUAGGGUGGUAGUAGUCUUUAGGGUGGUAGUAGUCUUCAGAGUGGUAGUAGUCUAGGGUGGUAGUAGUCUUUAGGGUGGUAGUAUCUUGGGGGUGGUAGUAGUCUUGGGGGUGGUAGUAGUCUUUAGGGUGGUAGUAGUCUUGGGGUGGUAGUAGUCUUGGGGGUGGUAGUAGUCUUGGGGGUGGUAGUAGUCUUCAGG